GCCUAAAGCGUCCGUAGCCGGCUUUGUAAGUUUUCGGUUAAAUCUAUAUGCUCAACAUAUGGGCCGCCGGGAAUACUGCAUAGCUAGGGAGUGGGAGAGGUAGACGGUACUCCGUAGGAAGGGGUAAAAUCCUUUGAUCUAUGGAUGACCACCUGUGGCGAAGGCGGUCUACCAGAACACGUUCGACGGUGAGGGAUGAAAGCUGGGGGAGCAAACCGGAUUAGAUACCCGGGUAGUCCCAGCUGUAAACUAUGCAAACUCAGUGAUGCAUUGGCUUGUGGCCAGUGCAGUGCCGCAGAGAAGUCGUUAAGUUUGCCGCCUGGGAAGUACGUACGCAAGUAUGAAACUUAAAGGAAUUGGCGGGGGAGCACCACAAGGGGUGAAGCCUGCGGUUCAAUUGGAGUCAACGCCAGAAAUCUUACCCGGAGAGACAGCAGGAUGAAGGUCAAGCUGAAGACUUUACCAGACAAGCUGAGAAGUGGUGCAUGGCCGUCGCCAGCUCGUGCCGUGAGGUGUCCUGUUAAGUCAGGUAACGAGCGAGAUCCUUGCCUCUAGUUGCCACCAUUACUCUCAGGAGUAGUGGGGCGAAUUAGCGGGACUGCCGUAGUUAAUACGGAGGAAGGAGAGGGCCACGGCAGGUCAGUAUGCCCCGAA
rnacentral:rRNA from 1 species